rnacentral:lncRNA from 1 species
UCGCCUGUAUGCAAAUCCAAGGAACUGAAUGCAAUUACAGUAUAUAGUUUUGUUUUGAAAUUAUGCACGUGAGGUGAUUUCGUGGUAGGUAGGUAGGUUUGACUGUGUUUUUGAAUUUUUUGUAUGGGGAGUAAAGUGUUCCGAAAGUGUAAUGUUAGGAUUGGUUAAGAUUUGGAUUGGGAUUUGAAAUGAGUAAGAAUGUCGGCCCAAUAUAGAAAUGCAUUGGUGGGUUGUGUGCAUUAUCUGUGCAAUGUUAUAAUCGAGGGCUGAUGCACUUGCAAGUAGUGUCGUGCAAUUGCAUAUCAGUACAUGCAAUUACUAAGCAACUGUGUGCAAAUCCUGGUCCCCGUAUUUUUUGAAUUAAGCAAUGUGAUGUUGUAGUGUUUACUGGGUUUACGGGGUUUACGGGGUUUAGGGUGUAUUAGGCUUUGGAUUAGUAUUCAAAUUCUCGGCGCUAGAGAGAAUUGCAUGAUAGUGUUUUGUACUUGAUUUGUGCAAGUUAUGGAAGCUCAAAAAAGGGGAUCAGCGAAAGGAAAGCGCAAGGCCGAGAGAACUGUGCAACAAACAAGAGUUGGCCGAGAUGCAUUUUUUAAUUUCAUGUAAGUUACACGUACAUCUACAAAUUGGAAAUGUGGUUGCUUAAUAUUAUAAUGGUUUUUUUUAUAAAAAAUAAAUGAUUUACAGGAAAAAAGAACGACAUGAAAUGGGGAAAGUGGCCAAUGCAAAGUUGGACCAUAAGAUGUGGAAAUGUUUGAGUUGAAAUGUAUAGGAAGUAACUCCUUAAAUAAUCCUUCGUCUGUAGUUGGUAGCUGGUAUUUGGUACUUGGUACUUUGGAUUGGGUUCCUUUUUCGUUAGAAGGUCAAAGUUUUCUAAACAAAUGCACCUACUUGCGUUUGGUUGAACACAUACCCGUUUGUUCGAAAAAGUAAGUUGGUUGGGCCCAUCUUUCUGGGGAACGGUCAACUUUACUGAACGAACGCAACUCUUGCGUUCACUUGAACCAACACCAGGUUCAUUAGAAAAAGUCAUUUGAUUGGACUCAUUUUUAGGGGAACGGGUUCCUUUACUCAACGAACGCAACGCUUACGUUCAGUAGAACAAGCACUCCGUUUCUUUGAAAAAGAAAGUUUGUUGGAUUUAUUUUUUCAGCGAACAUUAAACUUUCCUCCACGAACGCACAUGUUGCAUUUGUGUGAAAAAGUAAUCCGUUUGUUUGAAAAAGUAAGGUGGUUGAGGCAUGUUUUCCGCGAACGGGUAACUUUUCUCAAGGAACGCACGUAUGGCGUUCGUCUGAACAAAUACCCUGUUGGUUUAAAAAAGUAACAAUGACGGCGGGCUUUUUAGGCGGAACGUCGAGUAUUUCUGAACGAAAGCAAAUCCUUGCGUUCAUUUGAACAAACGCCCCGUUUGUUUAGAAAAGUAAGUUUGUUGGGGCCUUUUUUAGGGGAACGGGUAACUUUACUGAACGAACGCAACCCUUGCAUUCGCUAGAACGAACAUUCCGUUUGUUUGAAAAAGUAAGUUGGUUGGAUUUCUUUUUUCGGCGAACAUAAAACUUUCCUCAGCGAACGCACCUGUUGCGUUUGUGUGAAAAAGUAUUCAGUUUACUUGAAAAAGUAAGGUGGUUGGAGCAUGUUUUCGGCGAACGGGUAACUUUUCUCAAGGAACGCACGUAUUGCGUUCCUGUGAACAAAUACUNNNNNNNNNNAUUGAAUUUCUGUGGUGAUGAAUUGGGGCAAGAGGGGAAGUAGGUUUCUCACAUUCAUGAGAUGAAGUGGGUUUCUCAGUCUGAAAAGUGUCGUGAGGUGAAGUGGGUAUCUCACAUUCAUGGUUGUUAUGUUCAUGCAAUUGCAUAUCUCUAUAUGCAAUUACUAAUCGCCUGUAUGCAAAUCCAAGUAACUGAAUGCAAUUACAGUAUAUAGUUUUGUUUUGAAAUUAUGCAUGUGAGGUGAUUUCGUGGUAGGUAGGUAGGUUUGACUGUGUUUUUGAAUUUUUUUUAUGGGGAGUAAAGUGUUCCGAAAGUGUAAUGUUAGGAUUGGUUAAGAUUUGGAUUGGGAUUUGAAAUGAGUAAGAAUGUCGGCCCAAUAUAGAAAUGCAUUGGUGGGUUGUGUGCAUUAUCUGUGCAAUGUUAUAAUCGAGGGCUGAUGCACUUGCAAGUAGUGUCGUGCAAUUGCAUAUCAGUACAUGCAAUUACUAAGCAACUGUGUGCAAAUCCUGGUCCCCGUAUUUUUUGAAUUAAGCAAUGUGAUGUUGUAGUGUUUACUGGGUUUACGGGGUUUACGGGGUUUAGGGUGUAUUAGGCUUUGGAUUAGUAUUCAAAUUCUCGGCGCUAGAGAGAAUUGCAUGAUAGUGUUUUGUACUUGAUUUGUGCAAGUUAUGGAAGCUCAAAAAAGG